UUGCGGGUGUUACCCACUGCCUCGGCAGGAACCUUAUUGAGCGUGCUGUACUUCUGCACCUGAUCGCCGACCUCCUUCACGAGAACCGCCAGCGACGGAUAGGUGCCUUCGUUGAUCUUGUGCAGCGAGACAUACUGAGUCACCGCCGGNCGAUAAUGCUGUGACCGGCGCCCUUCGCUGCGAUGACCUUGGACGCUGCUGCUGAAGUCUG
rnacentral:misc_RNA from 1 species